AAAGGAUCACGGAACUCUGGGCCGUAGCCAUGGCAGCCCCAUGUUAGCAACCCCUAGUAGAAGAUGCACACGAUGCUCUGCAAGGGUCAAUGUUAUGAAUAUGUCCCUUCCCAGCUCUGAGAGGAUAGAAGAUUUACUGAGAAUGGAUUAGAAAAACAAAGACAAAAAAACCUAAGACUCGGAGUGGGUCAGGAAUUUCCCCCAUGGUCACACAGCAAGACAGAGCUUGGUGAAGACUACACCCACGGUGGGACUACUCUGGAGAAACUGGCAGGUGCCACUUCGGCGAGCAGACCCAGCGCGAGCAGACUGAGGGCCAACAUGGCUGCAGGCAGCUGUAGAGCCGCUGGUGUUUUGACUCCUGGGGCUGCUGGAGGUCUGGAGUGUUUGUAUGAGAUCAGCUGGAGAACAGUCUGGCUGUACAGGAGAGGCUCCGGUUAGGUGAGGCAGAACUGGAGGGAGGGCGGGGAAGGACUGGCAGACUGGUGAAGAGAAACUGCCCUUCCUCCCAUGGAAAUGAGCUGCCAGGCCUGGCUGAUGCCCAGUCUGACAAACUGGCAUUUAAGGGACCCUCUUAGAAACCAGUUAAGGAGUUGGGCCCCAGACCUGGGGAAAUAAGGGGGAAGUCCCAGCCUCCUCCAACACUCACGCUGCCUCAGAGGUCUUCUUCUGAGCUCACCUUUCCUGGCAGUGGGGCUGGGCUCCCAGGGAAAGGUGUGACACAUUUUCAGCCCUGCCUGGAAUGGGCCCAGUGGGUGGGGUUUCUUGGAAGACUGACAGUAGGAUUGAGACUAGCGCUUGGCUGUGGGCAAAAGACUCAGGGAAGGCUCAGCUGCCCGCUUUCCCUAUAUUCUGCCCUCUUCUCACCUGCUUCUGACCCACCAAGCCAGACCCUCACCUGAGACACAGACUCACUUCACAGUCUCCAGCCCUGACCAGUCUAGUGGUUCCCUAUACCUUCCACAUAGCCCAGUUCAACGCCCCCCUUGGUCCCCAUAGUCCCUGAUAACCUGACAGGCUUCAGACAAGAUUUGACUUGGUCAGAAGUCUCAACAUCUGCCUUCAGAUCCACCUCCCUUACAUCUCCCACCUCUGAUGACCUUUUCACUUUCUCAAAUGGAGAUGUGGCCUUGGUUUCCUGCACCCUGCUUUAAACUGACAAGGAAGGCAUGCUGGGUAUUUGCUAAUUCCACCUCGUUCCUUUCAUUCCAACCAGAGGUUCCCUGGAGCAUCCAAAGCAGGAGGUGGCACUGUGUGGCUCCAAUCCCAGGCUGGGAUGCAGGCCCCACUCUGAAGACUCAAGAGCUUCCUUCUCUCCAGCAGCUCAACUCCCACCUUGUUUCACAGGGGACUGAGUGGACAAGAAGGAACGGGACAGAGCUGAUGACCCACAGCGGUGAAGCCACAUCCGGCCAGUGGGGCAAAGACUGAGACAGGAGGAUCACUGCAAGUUCAGGCCACAUGGUGAAUUCUAUGUUGUUCUGAGCUACAGAGUGAGACCUCAUGUCCCCAAAGAGGAGGCGGCAGCUGGAAAGAUUGCUCCGUGGUUAGAAGUGUGUACUAUUGGAAAGCCCUGAGUUUAGUUCCUAGCACCCAUGUUAGGUGGCUCACAAACGCCUGUCACUCUAGCUCCAGGAGAUCUGACACCCGUUUUGGCCUCUGCAGGUACCUCCACCCACAUGCACACAUCCAUACAGACAUACACACAUACGAUACUGAAAUUAAAAUUAAUCUUAUCUCGC